UUUGGGAUUGGCACAUGUACACUGUGGUACAUGGAAUGACUGGCCAAUGUGGAACUGCUAUACAGCAGAGAGAACUCUACCCAAUAUUCUGUGAUGGUCUAUGAGGGAAAAGAAACUGAAAAAGAAUGGAAGUGUAUGUAUGUUUAAUUGAAUCACUUUGUUGUACAGCAGAAAUUAUCACAACUUUGUAAAUCAACUAUACUUCAGUAAAACUUUAAAAAAUGAAAAAAAUAUUGCAACAUUUUAGAUAGGGAGAUGGGAUUAAGAUGACAGAAUAGAAGGUCUAGAGCUCAACCUCUCCCCUAAACACAACAAAAUUACAACCAAAUGCUAAGCAACCUUCAACCAAAUGGACUGGAAACUUUCAAAAAGAUAUCCUACUCCAGAAGACAAAGAGGAGGCCAUAUCAAGAGGUAGGAGGGAUGAUUACAUGAUAUAGGCAACCCCAUACCCCCCAGGUGGGAAGCCCCACAGACUGGAAAGUAACUGUAUCACAGAGACUCACCUACAGGAGUGAGAGUUCUGGGCCCCACAUCAAAUCCCCACGCCUGGGGAUCUGACACUAGGAGAAAGUGCCCCCAGAGCAUCUGGCAUUGAAGGCCAGUGGGGCUUGUGCUCAGGAGCUCCAUGGGACUGGGGGAAACAGAGACCCCAUUCUUGAAAGGCACACACAGACUUUCACGUGCCCUGGGUCCCAGGGCAAAGCAAGGGCUCCAUAGAAAUCUGGGUUGGACCUGACUGCAGUUCUUGGAGGAUCUCCUGGGAAAACAGGGGGUGAAUGUGGCUUGUUGUGGGGGAAGGGCAUUGGAUGCAAAGCUCUUGGGAAUAUUCAUCAGCCUGCAUUUUUCUGGAGUGGCCAUUUUGGGAAAAUCUGGCCCCACCCAUCAACUGAGAAGCCCCAGGCCAAACAAUAAUCCAGGUGGGAUUACAGCCCCACCCAUCAGUAAACAGGCUGCCUAAAGACCCCACCAGGCACACAGCCACCUAUAAUCUCACCCAGAGACAAAGCCCCACCCACUCAGAGGGAUAGGAAUCAGUCCUACAAUGGGCAGGCAUCAGUCCCUCCCAUCAGAAAGCCUACAGCAAGCCCCUGUACCAACUUCAUCCACAAAGGGGGCAGACACCAGAAGUAAAAGAGGCUAUAACUCUAUUGUCUACAAAAAGGUCACCACACCAAAAACCUAUA
rnacentral:lncRNA from 1 species